GUAAGUUGGGCCCAUAGUGUAGGAAGCCUGGAAUACCAGGAAAAAAUGUGUGUCUAAUUCUUUAAGUUGCCAGUUCAUAUUUACCUCAUCAUAAGAUCUGUUUAAAAUUAAUUACUUUUUUUUUUUUGGUAUUAAGUAUAUGCAUUAACAUUGUAUUUAAAUUUGCCAUAGGUUGCUUUCCCUUAUGUAUACUUUUAUGCAUUGAGUUUCUUUAAGCAAAAUGGUGACAAUGAUAUAAAUAACUGAAAAAGUUAUCAUUUAAUAAGGUUAAUUAUCUGAUAAUCUUAGAUUCUGCUAAUGGGAAAUCAGUAUGUAUUACAACAUUAUUAUAAAUCAUGAAUACAAAUUUUGAGUAACAAAC
rnacentral:lncRNA from 1 species